rnacentral:sRNA from 1 species
UCCCUUUGGUUUCUUUAUUCCUCCCCAGGUUAUGGGAUCAUUGCUUCGAUUGACAUUUUGGGGGAGAGCAAGCAGGCUUAGAGGAAGGGAGACUACACUGGGUGUUGUGGAGCAGGGAUGCCACCAGUGGCUGUCUCUGACCUAACGUGGCUAUGGCUGGACAUUUCUGUCUCAAGAUGGAGACCUGGGAACACUUCUUUGCUUCGGGAAGACAGCAUUGAUUUUAUCAAGAUCUGAUGCCGUUAAGAUCAGCAGAAGGACAAGAAGCAGCCAAAGAAGGCGAGACACUGAG